rnacentral:rRNA from 1 species
UACGUAGGGUGCGAGCGUUGUCCGGAAUCAUUGGGCGUAAAGAGCGUGUAGGCGGCCAGAUAAGUCCGCUGUGAAAACUCGAGGCUCAACUUCGAGCUGUCGGUGGAAACUUUUCUGGCUAGAGUGCGGUAGGGGAGAUUGGAAUUCCUGGUGUAGCGGUGGAAUGCGCAGAUAUCAGGAGGAACACCGAUGGCGAAGGCAGAUCUCUGGGCCGUAACUGACGCUGAGGAGCGAAAGCGUGGGGGAGCGAACAGG